UUUUAUAUUAUUAUGUAAUAUUCUUUUUAACUUAAAAAUGCAUUAUCUCACAAGUUUCCCCUUUUAAAAAAAAAUGAAUGGAAACUUAUUGGUCAAACAUGAAUUUUGGCCAAUAAGUUUAUGAUGAAUACGUAUUUAUCAUUUUCAAUGAUGAAUUUUUCAUCUCAAAAAAAGAAAAAAAAAAUGUAAUGAAAUAAAACAACUACUUAUGUGCUAGGUCAAAUUUGCCCCAUUAAACUAAAUUUAGAUCAUAAUAAGUUAUUGAUGUUUAAUUUAUCUAGUUAUUUUUAAGUACAUUUUGUGCUAUCUCCCAUCCUAUCUGAUAAAAACGGAUCUCAUGAUCUUAAGUCGAUCUUACCUAAGAUCGUAAGUUCCAAGUUUUCCGAUGAAGAGUGGAUUUAAUUGUAUUAGUGUCUACAAUUAAUUUUUCCUAUCUAAUACUAAUCGAUAAAACCUCAUUGGUAAGUGCUACAUGAUCUCGUGCAAACCCACGAUUAUGGACCUGAAUCAUUAAAUUAUUAGUAAGUUACUAUUACUAUUUUACAUUCAUUAAGCUAUUAUUUGUACUAUAGUCAAUUUUUAUAUCCAGUCCCUAAUUAUGCAUUACAUUAUUAUUCUAACAACAAUUAGUCUAUGGGUACAGGAAAUACCCAUAGAAUUCAAACAGAAUUUUGAAUGUGCUGACCUGACAUAGAAUUAUUCGUUUUUUAAUUCCUUUUCAAUUUAAGCCAAAAACUGGUUCCAAAAGCAAAUUGGUUUGACCCUUAAAAUGAACCCAUCUUCAUUUCCCCCAAAUUACAAAGCAAGAGGAAAAUCGUCACUUUUUUCAUCGUCGAAUUUGUGGUCCUCCAAAGUCGGUUGACAUCUAGACCAGUGAUUGGCGUGCACCAUCUGAUGUAUUGUAAAGACGACAGUCCACCGAAACCCAACUUGGAAACUGUAUUUGAAGAUAACAGUUGAAUCGUAGAUGUUGAGCAAAGUUGACUAGAAUGAGAAGAAGGAAUUUCGGAGUUUGUCACAGCUAUAGAAUUAACACUCACUACUUUGGACAAUACCAAACAAAACGUGGAUUCCCUUCAUGUAAAUGCGGAUUUCAAAAAUGUUUUGAGAUAAAACGAGAUACUGGAAACAAAGGGCGCUAGUUCUUCACGUGUAAUAAUGACUGUUGAUUUUUCAAUUGGGUGAAAAUGAAGAUUCAAGUGGGGAGUCGAGUAUCUUUAACGAAGAGGUGAAUCAUGAGCCCAAUGAGGAAUAUGAAGACUUGCCAAGAAUCUUCGACGGCCUAGCUCGAAUUUUCGAAAAAUGAGACAUGGACAUAACAUUGUACGUAAUAUUUCGCAAAGGAAAAAGGAAUUGUAGAAUGUGAUGGGAAAGAGAAGGGACCAACGUGAACGGGUAAUGUCAGUUUUUAUUUGCUAUAUGCUUUGUUCGUACCAUAAGACUUCUUGAUCAUAGUAGGCUCCAAUGUUCAAUACUUAAUUUGUCAAUGUCGUUCGAGCAUUGGACAUAAGUUUAAUAUUUUGCGAAUCAUUGUAAUAUAUUAACAAUUUGGAUAUCUGUUUCAUAUCAUGGUUUAUCUUGUGA